GUCUAUUUAAAGCGAGUGGAGGAGCAGAGGCAGGCAGGGCUAUAAGAUUUCUAAGUAAAUAUGCUUCAAAUUCAAGAGAAUCAUGUGCAGCUGGCAGCUCGCCUGCUUAUUCCAGCCAUGUGUGCUCAUAGUGGUGUGUGUUUGCUCAGUAGCCUGCAGCAGACGAGGAGACACUAAUACGAUGCUUUGUUCCGUGCUGUUAGGCCGGGAAGGCACUUAUUCUGCGGACAAGACUUCCCAAUAACAGGAGGAGACAAAAGCUUUUCGACGGCACAGCAGAUUUUCACCGCCCUAACAAGAAAUGUGGACGUGUAGUAUUCAGCUGGAAUUAAAAGAGCCACUCCAGCGCCGACUGUGAGGAGGAGAGUCAGACGGUGGGGGGUGGAGGAGAAUAAUAGAGACGGAGGGGGAGAGGUGGAGGACUGCAGUGAGAGUGAGAGACAAGAAAGCGAGGAGAAGAUGCGAAAAGAAAGCGAGGAGAAGGACCUGUAACAAAAUGUCAUGGGCUGGAUGUGAGCCCACAGCCACUGCAUCAGGGACUGUAGCCGCUGUUUAUGCACUGCAAAAACUCACGAAGUCUAUUUGUCUUAUUUUUAUUCAAAAUGUCUCAUCCCACUUGGUUUAUGAUAAAUUCACUUAACAAGUGACAUUUCAGCAAGAUGGAAGAACUUGUUUUAAGACAAUGCAUCUUAAAUAUCUUAAGUGAAGCAAUCUUUAAAUGAUCUUAUUUUGAGUUGUAUUUUACAAAAAAAAAAUCAAAAAAAGUUUAAUACAUCUCAAAUUAGGAGGUUACAUGAAAGCAAAAAUCUGUUUUUGAGUGAAAAACUGCUAUUUUUUUAAGCAUAUUUGGUUUAUUUUAUGACACCUAAGCUUGACAAUCUUGGUAAAACGUAGCUUAAAAUAAGUUUUCCCAGCUAAUUUUAAGAUAUCAAUAUUCUAAAUAUCAUAUCUUAUUUCAAGAAAUCUUACCCAGCCAUUUUUCACUUGUUUUAUUGGCAGAUUUUUUUCACAUAUUUUAAGGUAAAAGAUCAUUGAAAAAAGUUUUUUUCUUGUUUUGAGAGGGGUGUUUGGGUCACCCACUCAACCCGUUAAACUACCAGGAUACCCCUAUUUCCAGCUUUUAUUGCCCAAUCCAAGUGCCACCGAAAACAACGUCCUCAUCCUCAAGGAACCAUGAAUGUAUGGACCAAAUGUCACUGUAAGUUGUCUGAUAGUUGUCAGGAUUUUUAACUAAAAACAAAUAUUUCAAGGUUACAUUUGAGCUUGAUUUACAGGAUUCAUCAUACUGUGAAUGUCUGAAUGUCUAGUGUUUGUUGAUCUUUUUGUUUUGCCAGUUUUGCAUUGCAUUCAAAAUGUAUAAACUUGUACAAGUUGUGCAACUU